rnacentral:misc_RNA from 1 species
GGGGAUCUUACAAUUAUGUAUGAUAUCCUAAGAACAUAUGAUUCAAAUUACUGGGCUCAGGUUACCAUUGCAAACCAUAAUCCCCUUGGUCGCCUUGAUAACUGGAAACUAAGUUGGGACUGGAUGAAGGAUGAGUUUAUUUGGGAAAUGAAAGGCGCAUAUCCCUCUGUUGUUGAUACUUCUGAGUGUGUUUUUGGGCCACAGGCAAAAUUUUAUCAAAACCUUGACUUUUCCACUGGUUUGAACUGUCAGAGAAGGCCGACACUAAUUGAUCUGCCGCUGGAGAAGACCAAUGAUACAAAGUUGGGAAUGAUACCUUUUUGUUGUCGGAAUGGGACAAUCUUGCCACCUGCUAUGGACCCAAGCAAGUCUGUUUCAGCAUUCCAGAUGAAUGUCUUUAAAAUGCCUCCAGAUCUUAAUCGAUCCUCAUUCACUCCUCCACAGAAUUGGAAGAUCGAAGGCAGACUGAAUCCAGAUUACAAGUGUGGACCUCCAGUCCGUGUAAGCCCCACCCAAGUCCCUGAUCCUAGUGGAUUGUUACCUGCUACAUCAGUAUUUGCUAGCUGGCAAGUUGUAUGCAACAUCACCCAACCAAAAGGAGCUAGCCCCAGAUGCUGUGUUUCUUUCUCUGCUUUCUACAAUGAAUCUAUCAUUCCUUGUCCAACAUGCGCCUGUGGUUGUCCUUCCAAUACUGCUCGUACAUGUAGCACGAAAGCCCCAGCUCUUCUCCUCCCAUCUCAGGCUCUUCUGGUUCCAUUUGACAAUAGAACCAAGAUGUCCCUUGCCUGGGCUGAAAUUAAUCAUCUUCCAGUUUCAAACCCAUUGCCAUGUGGAGAUAACUGUGGUGUAAGCAUCAACUGGCAUUUGUUCACAGACUAUAGGGGUGGAUGGUCUGCCAGGAUCACCAUCUUCAACUGGGAGGAUGCUGCUUUUGCUGAUUGGUUCACUGCGGUGGAAUUGGACAAAGCAGCGGCUGGUUUUGACGCAGUGUAUUCAUUCAAUGGAACUAUGUUAGAUGGGGUUAAUAAUACCAUAUUCAUGCAGGGCCUUCCAGGCUUGAACUAUAUAGUAGCAGAAGCAGAUGGAGCUAAUCCAGCGAAAGAUCCCCGAGUACCUGGGAAACAACAAUCAGUAAUCUCAUUCACAAAGAAGAAUAUCCCAAACAUCAACGUUGCUGCUGGUGAUGGGUUUCCAACAAAAUUAUACUUCAAUGGAGAAGAGUGCUCAUUGCCAAAGCUACUCCCAACAAGCAGUUCAUCUAGAAUAUCUUCAUUCACUGUCACUACUUCCAUUCUUGCAGCAGUUGUGGUUUUUAUGUUGGUGCGACAAUAGCAGUGAGCUGUGGCGUUUUCUCUUCGUUUCAUACCUGCCAAUUGAUUCAUUCUUUAGCGUCUGCUACCAGGUUUUAAUGCUGGUGACCAAUCUUUCAAUCAGUUUGUCGGAUUAUGUAUUCAGGGACGUGGGUUUUUCGGCGAGUUUUGAUUUGUAACUAUUUAUUACACUCUGGAAUUCUCAUUCCAGACAAUAUUUGACUUUAAAGUUAAUACCUGUUAUAUUAGCAGAUAAGAUAAGAAUACCUCAGUUUGUUCAUCAUCAUCCUCAAUACCUCAGUUUGUUCAUCAUCAUCCUC